rnacentral:rRNA from 1 species
AGCAGCCGCGGUAAUUCCAGCUCCAAUAGCGUAUAUUAAAGUUGUUGCAGUUAAAAAGCUCGUAGUUGAAUUUCGGGAUCAGUAGGUUGGUCAUGCCUUUGGUAUGUACUGGUCUCACUGAUUCCUCCCUCUUGAAGAACUGUAAUGUCAUUAAUUUGGUGUUGCGGGGAAUCAGGACUGUUACUUUGAAAAAAUUAGAGUGUUUAAAGCAGGCUUACGCUUGAAUACAUUAGCAUGGAAUAAUGAAAUAGGACGUUCGAUCCUAUUUUGUUGGUUUCUAGGAUUGACGUAAUGAUUAAUAGGGAUAGUUGGGGGCAUUAGUAUUCAAUUGUCAGAGGUGAAAUUCUUGGAUUUAUUGAAGACUAACUACUGCGAAAGCAUUUGCCAAGGAUGUUUUCAUUAAUCAAGAACGAAAGUUAGGGGAUCGAAGACGAUCAGAUACCGUCGUAGUCUUAACCAUAAACUAUGCCGACUAGGGAUCGGAUGAUGUUAAUUUUUUAAUGACUCAUUCGGCGCCUUA